rnacentral:pre_miRNA from 1 species
GUUUAACUUUUCGUCUUAUUUAAAAAAAUUACGAUUAAUAUUUUUAUUUUUAUUAGAUUAUAAAAUAUGAAUAGUACUUUACAUGUGACUAAUUUCUUUGAAUUUUUUAUAAAAUUUUCAAAUAAGACGGAUGGUCAAAC